AAAAAGUUAAAAACUGAACUUCCAUAUGAUCCAGUCAUUCCACUACUGGAUUAUUUGUGCCAAGAAAGUGAAAACAGUAAUUUAAACAGAUACAUGUAUCCUUAUGUUUACUGCAGCAUUAUUUAUUAUAGCCAAGAUAUGGAAACAACCCAAGUGUCUAUUGAUAGAUGAAUGGAUAAAGAAGUUAUGGCAUAUAUAAACAAUGGAAUAUUAGCCAUAAAAAUGAAUGAGAUCUUGCUAUAUGUAACAACUUGUAUGGAUCUAGAGGAUAUAAUAAUAACUAAGUGAAAAAA